rnacentral:rRNA from 1 species
GACGAACGCUGGCGGCGUGCUUAACACAUGCAAGUCGAACGGUGAAGCGCCUUCCUUUUUGGUUGGUGUGGAUGAGUGGCGAACGGGUGAGUAACACGUGAGUAACCUGCCCCCUUCUUCUGGAUAACCGCAUGAAAGUGUGGCUAAUACGGGAUAUUCUGGGUCUGUCGCAUGAUGGGUCUGGGAAAGAUAUUGUUUCGGUGGGGGAUGGGCUCGCGGCCUAUCAGCUUGUUGGUGGGGUGAUGGCCUACCAAGGCGGUGACGGGUAGCCGGCCUGAGAGGGUGGACGGUCACACUGGGACUGAGACACGGCCCAGACUGCUACGGGAGGCAGCAGUGGGGAAUAUUGCACAAUGGGCGCAAGCCUGAUGCAGCGACGCCGCGUGAGGGAUGGAGGCCUUCGGGUUGUGAACCUCUUUCGCCAGUGAAGCAGGCCUGCCUCGUUUGUGGGUGGGUUGACGGUAGCUGGAUAAGAAGCGCCGGCUAACUACGUG